rnacentral:rRNA from 1 species
CCUACGGGUGGCUGCAGUGGGGAAUUUUGGACAAUGGGCGCAAGCCUGAUGCAGCCAUGCCGCGUGUGUGAAGAAGGCCUUCGGGUUGUAAAGCACUUUCAGCGGGGAGGAAGGCGGUGAGGUUAAUAACCUCAUCGAUUGACGUUACCCGCAGAAGAAGCACCGGCUAACUCCGUGCCAGCAGCCGCGGUGAAUACGGAGGGUGCAAGCGUUAAUCGGAAUUACUGGGCGUAAAGCGCACGCAGGCGGUCUGUCAAGUCGGAUGUGAAAUCCCCGGGCUCAACCUGGGAACUGCAUUCGAAACUGGCAGGCUAGAGUCUUGUAGAGGGGGGUAGAAUUCCAGGUGUAGCGGUGAAAUGCGUAGAGAUCUGGAGGAAUACCGGUGGCGAAGGCGGCCCCCUGGACAAAGACUGACGCUCAGGUGCGAAAGCGUGGGGAGCAAACAGGAUUAGAUACCCUAGUAGUC